rnacentral:rRNA from 1 species
CUACGGGCGGCUGCAGUGGGGAAUAUUGCACAAUGGGCGCAAGCCUGAUGCAGCCAUGCCGCGUGUAUGAAGAAGGCCUUCGGGUUGUAAAGUACUUUCAGCGGGGAGGAAGGGAGUAAAGUUAAUACCUUUGCUCAUUGACGUUACCCGCAGAAGAAGCACCGGCUAACUCCGUGCCAGCAGCCGCGGUAAUACGGAGGGUGCAAGCGUUAAUCGGAAUUACUGGGCGUAAAGCGCACGCAGGCGGUUUGUUAAGUCAGAUGUGAAAUCCCCGGGCUCAACCUGGGAACUGCAUCUGAUACUGGCAAGCUUGAGUCUCGUAGAGGGGGGUAGAAUUCCAGGUGUAGCGGUGAAAUGCGUAGAGAUCUGGAGGAAUACCGGUGGCGAAGGCAGCCCCCUGGACGAAGACUGACGCUCAGGUGCGAAAGCGUGGGGAGCAAACAGGAUUAGAUACCCGUGUAGUC